UUCACAUUUCUCACAGAUUCGCAACUCGAAACACCAUAUAAUUAAUAUCGUAUAAUUGUUUCCUCUUUCCCUCAUUUCAAGUGCUUCACGUUGUUUGUUUAUAUAUUUUUCAUAUCCUGGCCACUUGCUGUAUGUUUUAUAUUAUUGCCACUUUUGCUAACCCUCUCCAUUUGCAGAAUUAAUUAUCACCACUACACUUCUAUCACUUUUCCUUCUUAUUUUGGGCUUUUCCGGGCAGGUUACACCUAAGACAAUCGAGUUUUUAAGGCAAAAUAUACAAAGUAAAUUAGCCAGGUGAGGAAAGAGAGAGACUCACUCUUCAAGAUGUUUAUCAACGCAAGUGGCUGGGAGGUGUGAUAAGGACAGUAGGAAUGGAUUAGGAAAGAAGGAAGCAAGCAGACGCCAUUGUUGAUGUUGAUUACAAAUCAUGAAAGCGACGAACAUACUUGACCCUCAGUGUUUAAUUCUUCACUCUUACCUCUCCAUCAUGCUCAUGCUGCCUGACUUUUUGGACCACUUCUUGUUCAACUGCUGCCUGUGAUAAGUAAUGCGCCAUCUCAAAGAGAAUCUUGGAUUGCUUAACUAUAAUCAACUCUUUCUUCUCAGGUCUCAAUUAUAUUUUUGUCAAUCACAAAGUUUAAAUUCGAGACUUGAUUCAAUAGUUUACUUUCAAUCAUACUAAUGGUGUUCCUUGAUUAGGUUGAAAAAAAAAUAUUGAUUCGUUUAAAUAAUUAUGUUGUUUUUAUCCCAGCUCUCGUUUACCCUGUGAUCUCUCAAUUGUGAAUCGGAAAAUUGUAACGCAGUAGCUUAAAAAAAUUAAAUAUAGUUAGGAUGGAAUGUCUGAACUCGUGUGGAGUAUUUUCGGUUCUUUCCAUCCAACAACAGCAAACACCAUUUUUUGCGAUUAAUAUGGCCUUGUUGCAGUCAGAAAUAUUCUGAGACAGGAUCUAUGGCCACUCCAGUGCUUCAAUAUAUAUCAGUCCUGAUUUUAUUGAAAUAAAAACAAAACAGGGUCUAGACCAAAUAUUGUAAUGUAAUUUGUGGAUAUAUUACUCAUCAUUUCAGAUCCUCGAUCUGUGGGGAUCUGAAUAUAUGUAUUAAAAAUGAACUAGGUGAUCAUUGUAUAUGAAUGCAAAAUAUAUAAAUGAAACGGGAAAAAAUCUCA